rnacentral:pre_miRNA from 1 species
CACUCUAAGUAUGAACGCCAAGCGUAUUGCAUAAAGCUUGGUGUUCUACCUUACAGUGAA